rnacentral:rRNA from 1 species
UGGGGAAUUUUGGACAAUGGGCGCAAGCCUGAUCCAGCAAUGCCGCGUGCAGGAUGAAGGCCUUCGGGUUGUAAACUGCUUUUGUACGGAACGAAAAGCCUCUCUCUAAUACAGGGGGUGAUGACGGUACCGUAAGAAUAAGCACCGGCUAACUACGUGCCAGCAGCCGCGGUAAUACGUAGGGUGCAAGCGUUAAUCGGAAUUACUGGGCGUAAAGCGUGCGCAGGCGGUUUUGUAAGACAGUGGUGAAAUCCCGGCUCAACCUGGGAACUGCCAUUGUGACUGCAAGGCUGGAGUGCGGCAGAGGGGGAUGGAAUUCCGCGUGUAGCAGUGAAAUGCGUAGAUAUGCGGAGGAACACCGAUGGCGAAGGCAAAUCCCCUGGGCCUGCACUGACGCUCAUGCACGAAAGCGUGGGGAGCAAAACAGGAUUAGAUACCCUGGUAGUCCACGCCCUAAAACGAUGUCAACUGGUUGUUGGGGAUUUAUUUCUUCAGUAACGAAGCUAACGCGUGAAGUUGACCGCCUGGGGGAGUAACGGCCGCAAGGUUAAAAACUCAAAAUGAAUUGACGGGGUCAUAGC